GACGAACGCUGGCGGCGUGCCUAAUACAUGCAAGUCUACUUGAUCCUUCGGGUGAUGGUGGCGGACGGGUGAGUAACGCGUAAAGAACUUGCCCUGCAGUCUGGGACAACAUUUGGAAACGAAUGCUAAUACCGGAUAUUAUGUGAGUUUCGCAUGAAAUUCAUAUGAAAGCUAUAUGCGCUGCAGGAGAGCUUUGCGUCCUAUUAGCUAGUUGGUGAGGUAACGGCUCGCCAAGGCGAUGAUAGGUAGCCGGCCUGAGAGGGUGAACGGCCACAAGGGGGACUGAGACACGGGCCCUUACUCCUACGGGAGGCAGCAGUGGGGAAUAUUGGGACAAUGGGACCAAAAGUCUGAUCCAGCAAUUCUGUGUGCACGAUGAAGUUUUUUCGGAA
rnacentral:rRNA from 1 species